UGCAGUCGAGCGGACAGAAGGGAGCUUGCUCCCGGAUGUUAGCGGCGGACGGGUGAGUAACACGUGGGUAACCUGCCUGUAAGACUGGGAUAACUCCGGGAAACCGGAGCUAAUACCGGAUAGUUCCUUGAACCGCAUGGUUCAAGGAUGAAAGACGGUUUCGGCUGUCACUUACAGAUGGACCCGCGGCGCAUUAGCUAGUUGGUGAGGUAACGGCUCACCAAGGCGACGAUGCGUAGCCGACCUGAGAGGGUGAUCGGCCACACUGGGACUGAGACACGGCCCAGACUCCUACGGGAGGCAGCAGUAGGGAAUCUUCCGCAAUGGACGAAAGUCUGACGGAGCAACGCCGCGUGAGUGAUGAAGGUUUUCGGAUCGUAAAGCUCUGUUGUUAGGGAAGAACAAGUGCAAGAGUAACUGCUUGCACCUUGACGGUACCUAACCAGAAAGCCACGGCUAACUACGUGCCAGCAGCCGCGGUAAUACGUAGGUGGCAAGCGUUGUCCGGAAUUAUUGGGCGUAAAGGGCUCGCAGGCGGUUUCUUAAGUCUGAUGUGAAAGCCCCCGGCUCAACCGGGGAGGGUCAUUGGAAACUGGGAAACUUGAGUGCAGAAGAGGAGAGUGGAAUUCCACGUGUAGCGGUGAAAUGCGUAGAGAUGUGGAGGAACACCAGUGGCGAAGGCGACUCUCUGGUCUGUAACUGACGCUGAGGAGCGAAAGC
rnacentral:rRNA from 1 species